rnacentral:sRNA from 1 species
GCCGCCCCGCGCCACCCGGCUGAGCGCGGCUCGUGGCCGCGCGCUCCUCACUGGGCGGCCGGGAUCACUCCGCCCUCCGGAGGUUCCGGCCGCGGGGCGGAGAGGCGACAGGGCCGGGACCCCGCGCGUCCCCGGCCGGCCGGUUCCCUCCCGGGCGCACGGCGGCGGAGGGACGAAGCCCGAGGCCGCAUGGAGGGCGGGGAGACGGACUCUGCCGGGUCUCAGCAGAAGGAACUUGGCCUUCUGAGGCGGGGCCGGGAGGCAGGAGCUGCUCCGGAGAGGAGCGGCGGGGACGGCGGCCUCAGACAGGAGCUGCUCCCGCGAGGUGCGCCCUGGCUUAGGAGCGGGAUCCUCGGGUUGGAGGCAGGACCGGUUCACUCCCGAAGGAGACCGGCCCUCAAGACCCAGCAAGGCAGCUCCCGUCUGCGGUGAAGUCCGAGAGGGACUGAGGGGUGGAGAUGGUGAUUAGCCACUAGACUGACUGUGAUGAAUGGAUCAAGCAGCAAAAGGACUCUACCUGUGCAUGUGCACCUGGCUCCAGUGCGGUUCCAGAGAAGAGUUCAACUGUGCACACUGAGACCGGCACUGGCCUCUGCAUCCCCUCCCAGCCUCCCAACAGCCACUGCGUUUUACUUUUCUUGUGUGUGUGUGUGUGUGUGUGUGUGUGUGUGUGUGUGUGUGCACCCACUGAGGCCAGAAGAGGGUAUCGAAGCACCUGGGGCUAGAGUUGUAGGCAUCUGUGAUUCACCCAACAUGGCUUCGAACAGUACCCUGAUCCUUCAUAAGAACAGUAACCAUUAACUGUGGAGCAGGCGUCUCAGACCUGCUCGCUCACUGUGCUUUAAAGUCCCUAGUUUCUUUUUUUUUUUUUGGUUCUUUUUUUUCGGAGCUGGGGACUGAACCCAGGGCCUUGCGCUUCCUAGGUAAGUGCUCUACCACUGAGCUAAAUCCCCGGCCCCGCCUAGUUUCUUUCUUCACAAGGAAGGUUUCAUAUCUUUCUCACCCCUCCAACUUCAGUGCUCACCUGUCCUUAAUCUUCAUUGGUGAUUUUUUGACCUCAUUCCACCCUCCCCCUUACCGCCCACCAAAAGGCCAUGAGCCCAAACACUCUGCCACCAGAACAGCUUCUCUCCCCACUCAGAGAUCAUCUGUGAGGUAAUGUGCGAGGUCGGGUCUAAUGCCUCCCCUAGCUGUCUACUCUUUCUGCCAGGACAUGCUUUCCCACAGUUCAUUUCUGUGACCCUGGCCUCUGUACUGUUGUCACUGGGUAUGGUGCCCUUCAGGAAGACGUGGGGCUGACUGUCUCUUCAGGAUGUAUAGUUAGAUUGGAGAUAUACAAGUCUCUUCCAGCAGGCUGCCCCAAUUUUAAAACCGGAAUCACUGUGUGGGAUAGAAAAGGCCAUCUCUUGGCUCUGAGUGGGCUUGGAGCUCCCUUGUGGCCACCUUCUUUGCCAGAGGCUUUCUGGCAGCCCUAAGAGCUCGCUUCCCUGCAGGUCAGCGUGGUACCAGCCUGACUGUGCGAUCACCCCCAGAGGGCAUGUGUGAGAGAUAAAACUGACUGUCCUCAAAGGCGCUUUGAGCCAACUUAGGUCCAGCUACAAAAAUUAGGAAACACCAGCCCUCUGUCUGUGCCUUCUCUAGUUAUUCCCCACCCAAACUAGAAGUCGAGAGCAGAGACUUACAGCCAAGCUUUCCUGCGUCUGAGGAGGAUGUAAAAAAUGUAGAUGAAAGCACACCAUUUUUGCUGGGAAAAAAGGCAAACAUAAAGGUCAGAGGGAGAGGCGAGAUGGAGAUGGUGUGUAAGAUGUCUGUCCUGACUGUUAGGAGAGGGAGGAAGGGGCCAUCUUGGAGAUAUUGCACUUGGCACACUUGGUACUCCAGGCUGAUGCCCAACUUGACAAAGGCAUCAACCUCUGUCCUCGGGGCUCUUAUUGUGAAGUGAGGAUAACCAUUUCUCACACUCCUGUGGUAGGAGUGGAUUCUACCCCAGCUGUGCUCUGCUGGGCUUCAGAGGACCUUCAUUCAGUGACAUUGGUACCACAAGAAGCAGUCAACGCUGUCAGACAAGCUCAGCAAAGCACCCUCAUGGUCUCUCCUCACUUCCCGGUCUUGUUUUCUCCAUUUCUCCAUUUGUUGGCUGUACCUAAAAAGCAAACUUUCUAACUCCAGUCCUUGACCCAGAUCAUUUCUCAUUUGUUCAGUUCCCUUCUGAGUCUCACUGGGCACAUUGGUCAUGGAAGGUAAGCCAUGCCCAGUAGUAGGUGGCCAACAGAAAAUGAAUUUUUUGGAAAUGCUAUUUUUGGAGAUAUUUUUUGUCUCAAAUUGCUUUGACCACUUUUUUGUCUCAUUAGUCUUUUGCUUGUAUAUUUUGGUUUCCAUGUGUGUUUUUCUGGUUUUUGUUGUUGUUGUUGUUGUUUUGUUGUUUUGUUUUUUUAAGAGAGAGAGACAGGUAGGUAGAGAGAUGGGAACAAUCCGGGAGGGGAGAAUGGUCAUCAGAAUAUACUCUUAAGAAACACAGAGUUGAGUAGAUGGAAUGAGGGUGGAUCUGGAAGAAGUUGAGGAAAGCGACAGAGUAUGACCGAAAUGCAGUACACAAAAUUUUCAAGAAUUGUAAA